UAACCACUCAAGCCUGGCUUGGUAUUGGGGUUCGCGGUUCCGCGGCCCCUAAAAUCAGUGGCGGUGCCGGUGGGCUCUAAGCGUAGUAAAUCUCCUCGCUAUAGGGUCCCUCCGGUUGCUCGCCAGAACCCCCAAUUUUUUAA
rnacentral:misc_RNA from 1 species